rnacentral:lncRNA from 1 species
GCUUUCCGGAGAUUGUUUGAGAAACGGCCGUGCGGCGCCCGGGCGUCCCGCAGACCCCGCAGGUCAGUGUCCGCUCGCAGCCGCCCCGCCGUAGGGCGCGCGGGCCGCACGCUCUGCGAGGACGGCGUCGCGAAGCUUGCCUUGGCUGCAGGCCGCGGUGGCUCAGUCUGUCUCGGUUCCGCAAAGGCGGUAAAGCAAGCCAGACGCCUAGUUUUCCUCUAGUUUAACGCUGUCACGCAGACAACGCUUCUGCCUCUGCACGCCCCGCGGCGACGCUGCAGACAGCCCGGAAAGCGCCUCCUCGCCUUUAGAACAGUACUAGAUUGAGUGCUUUAACUCUUAAAUAAGAAUCUCUUGUAGUUUAUGAGUUUUUCAGUGUUUUGGACUUUCAACGUUUCCAACAGCCCAUUCUUGGUCUUCGUGGCAAGAGUUAUGGAAGGUUUUCUUACAAGUUAGUUUCUGACUUACAUUGCAAUCCAUUGGUUUGCUAUAAGGAAUGUUAUAAUCAUUUCUCUUCUUUGUGGGGAGUCCUUAAAAGUCUUUGUUGGUUCAGUAGUUUAUUCACGUGCCAUUUUUCACACAGCAACACUUAGCAAAAGAACUUUUCACGGAUUGAAACUUUCCCAGACUAUCGGUUUCAAAUAUUCUGUGGGACCCUUUGCCACAUUUUUCAUCUUGAUUAUUUUAGAUAAUUGGUGUAUGACUAAGGACCCCCAUCCCGACCCUUACCAGUUUGUAGUCAAAACACCCUCCAGGAAUGUGUGGCCUUUAGUUAAACCUGAACAGAAUGGAUUUGGAGUAGCUUCUUUCUGUUACUGUCUUGAUCCUUUUUGUACUAUCAAUUACUUGUAUCCAGAAUGAGGAGAAUUGAAAAAUGAGUCAGAAUUAGUAGGAAAAAAGACCCUCCCCCUUUUUUUUCUUUAAAAAGUAAAGAAACUGAGCAUACUAGGCCACUAACAUGAAAAGAAUUAAGUUCUAGUCUUGAUUAUAGUUUGCUUCUGCCCAGCUCUACCUUUUGGACUAAUUCUCUUCUUUAGUAAUUAGAGGUAGCACUCAAUCUGUGGCUUUAAAAUUGUUCCAUAAAAGAACUUUUGUAGAAAUUUCCUGAAGCCAUGCAGAGGAGAGACAAAGCAAGCCGGCUGUCAACUGUCGUUUAACAAGCACAGCUAUUUAUAUGUUCUUUUACAACAGUGUUCCUGUAAGGAUCUAGUUCACAUCUUGGACCCGAUGAUCUGACUUGCUCCUCAGCAUGAAAAUUCUUCUUAGCACAAUUGUUCAUUGUUUUCAGUAUGCAUUCAUCCGGUUAUUCUGGCAUCCUAAAGUUAUGUAUUCCUUAUUUUUAAAAGGGACAAACAUGGCAAUGCUAUCUUAUUUUUUAAAAAUAAGAAAAGUUUAAUUCUGUCUUUUUGAUCACUCAUAAUUCCCAUUUCCCUUCCUACUGAAUAUCCUUGUUUUGUUUAAAUUGAAGGUCUUCAAAGCCUUUGCAUUAAUUUUCUGUUUGAUCCAUUCAAUAUCUGAGCCUUGAAGGUAUGUGAAGACUUGCUGGUCAUGCCUUGUCUAGGAAAAUUAGGGAUCUAGCACUAUAUGAUCUGCAGGGCAUUAAGUAAUUUUCAGGUUCCUAUAGUACAAAGAAAGUCUGAGCUGUAUCAGUUUUUAUGUCAGAACCAACGUUCAUUUGAGAUUGCUUGCACCUUUCCCCCAUUCUUGGUGAACCUGGUUGGACAACAGGAAUGUAGGCUACGUAGUCCCUGUCUUCUUCCUGUGAAGUAAAGGUAACUUCUAAGUAUUCUGUGGCCCUCCUGCGUGCCGUGAGAAUGUGAGAGAAGCCUUGGGGAAAGCCUCAGCUGCUCCAUCUCUCCUUGACUGUGAGCCUGGCAGCGAUUUCAACUGAGUUUUAUACAUGGUAGUGGAGAAGGGGAGAGGAGUAGUCAUCUCCUGGCCUUCCCAUUGUGGACUGUGUGCCUUUCCAGCCCAUUUCCUUCAAGACAGUCAAAAGUCCCUUUCUAUAAUGGGUUUUUUGUUUCUUGGUGGUUUUUUUUUUUUUUUUUUUUUUUUUUCCUGUAUUUAUUAUGUAUUUUUAUCAGAGCUCAGAUUUCUUUCCUGAGUGAGUAAAGAUAAAAUACCACCCAAUUGUCUUUCCGUCCUUAUUAAAAUGUAUCAACCAGGAACUCCAAAGUAAUUCUGUCUCUAUCUUGUCUAACCCUUGUGUUUGGAGAUGUGUUGGCAUAAUAUCUACCUUACAUACAAUUCUGUAUUCAUAAUAAAUGAUCAAACCACAUUUUUUACCCAGAGAAGACUCUUUUUAGAUUUGACAUUCAGGCCCUUUGAUUGAGUCCCUGACGGAAUGUAUAGGGGAGGGAAUGUGGAUGGGAGCUUGGGUGAUUUACCACAUUCCUUUAAUUACUUUCUUCAUCUGUAGUUUGGAGAGCUUAGUUAUGAAAUCUGUCUUUUGAAUGAUCCUGAGGAACAACAACAACAACAGCAAAAAAGCUAAGUUUAUUGUCUACAAAUUUUGGAUUGAUUACCAGCAAUUUAUUAAUUGUUACUUGACCUUAAAUUAUAUUUGUUUUAAAAGUAACAUAAUAACAGCUACUGUUUUAGACAGAUUCCAGGACACAAAAUAAAGGAAAUAUGUAGUGUCUGGUACAAUUAGGUUUUACUUGGUAAUUUCUUGUCCAUACUUGAUACCUUUUUGUUCAUUUGGGGAUAUUUUCCCAUUCUCUUUUACCAUAAAAAUUGCAGUUAAAUCUAUGUUCUAAUAAUUUUGAAGUCAUUUGAAAUUCUUCUCUUAAGCAAGUUGAUCCAAAAACUCCCAGAAUUUCUAGAAUACUUUGAAGAUGUGCUUUCUUCAGGUAUUUCACCUGUCUGUGCGAAUGCUUAGAAUCGACGUUUGCUGUAGUUGGUGUCUCUGCACUUUAGGCGUACAUAGCCUUUGAAAAUAAUUCCUGCAGUGUGUGCUCUAGUGCCACUUUCAAGUAGUUAUACUGCUGGGCCAUCAUCAUCUUGUUGGUAUAGGGCACAGGACAGAGCAUACUCUGCCACUUCUAGCAUGGUGACUUUAUAGUAGUUAUUAAUCUUUUAAGUUCUAAUUUUUGUUUUAAUUUUCCUAUAACUGUCCCCUUAUCAUAUAUCCUGCUAUAUUUUCUUUACAGCUUUUUAAAGUCAGUUUUAUAUAACCAUGUCUCUGAUUGGAAAGGGGUUCUUGUUUUCUAUCUGCUCUUUUCAAACUUUGAGAAAACACUUCUUGUAAAUUACAAUUUUUUUUGUUUACAUUUUUUUUCACCCCACCCCCCCCACCCCCACCCCCAGGUAAUGAGGAAUGUGUUGUAGUAAAAUGACUUGUGCAGAGUCUCUUUGGCAUGCCAUUUCCUGUGUGCAGUCAAGCAUGUCUUUAGUGUUGCAGUAUGCCCCUAACCUAACCCUAACCCUCUGUAUGAUGUAAAAAUAGCAACUUUCUGAAAGAAAAGAAUAUGUGAACAACCGCUGCUUUCU